UACUUCGUUAAGAAGUCUAAACAAAUAUUCAACUACAAGUUCAGCCUCCCCAAAAAAGGCUAUAACGAAACAGGAAGUACAGAAAGAAAACCAGGAUGUAACGCAUUCCCGAGACUCUAAAUACUAUUGUGGACUCACCCAGCGAAAGGCUUCUCAAAAAAUGUAUACUAAAGAGAAAAGGAUUCGCGUUUGUGUAAGGAAGCGGCCUUUAAACAAAAAGGUGUGGAAGGGAGCCUUAAAGUAUAUUUUUAUUUAGUUUUAAGUUGGGUGCAUUAGGAGAUGUUAAGCGGCGAUACAAACAACACUACAGUUGUUAACGGCAACGACAGUCUACUUGUGAAUGAGGAAAGAAUGACGGUGGAUUUGCAAAAGAUACUUCAGCAACAUCAAUUUUGGUUUGACGAAGUUUUCGAUGAGUCCUGCUCCAAUGAAGAGGUUUACGAAAGAACUGCCAAAGCUCUUGUUGCCCACCUUUUCUCUAGGAAAAAUGCCACCUGUUUUGCUUAGU